ensembl:processed_transcript B430212C06Rik uncharacterized LOC110284953
GGAGUGGAGGCUCUCCUCAGCAGCCCAUCUCUCCUCCCUCCAACACUGUGAUUUCUUUCUGCACCGACGCUAGUUGAUAACUUCUGUGGUAUGACUGUGCUUUGUGCUCCCAAAGUUUCCUGUCUUGAGAACCUCAGCCCUCAAGGUGGUGAUACUGGGACAGCUCCGGAACUACGUGGUCUGAGCCCGUGGUGCAGUUCACUAUCACGGACAACAGAGGGCGCUUUACCCUUAGUAAGGCAGAGCCAGUUCCUGUACCCCAGUAGCCCUUACAGAGACUGCACAGGAGGCCUGGAUGGAGUCUUCCAUUGGGAACUGCAGGGGAAACCAUGCCCUGGCUGCGGAAGGCUCCGGCUGAUGCUGGACGGAGAGAAGGAAUAUCUUUGCUGAGACAAGCCAUGCUCCUUCCUGCUGAAGAUCCAGUCUCGGAGGGUGGUUGGAAGAUGCUGUCCUUGACCUGAGCAGCCCACAACCUCAUCUGUUCCCCCAGACAUGCAGGGAUCAGCUUACCAAUAUGGCUUUCCCAAUGUUGAACAUGCUUACAUACCUGCAGCAUUCAGGCUAACGGCACCUGGAGAAUGGGGUUAUCCUGAAGGGGGGCCCAUCUGAAUUCCCUGUUCAGUCUGAGACAUUGUGAUUCUCCAGCUUUCUAUAUGUAUCUGUAUGUAAGGUCCUUCGGCCAGAAGACACGCCUAUCAUAUGACUGACA